AAUUGCUAAGAGAGAAGGAAUGUCUUGACUUGUUGAGUAAAAGGGACUGUUAGUAGGAAAGGACCAAUUGGAAGGGAAAUAAUAAGCAUAGAAAAAUGGAUCCUCCUCCUCCUCCUCUUCAUACGCAGACAACAGAGUUACCGACUAGUUGGCGAGGUGCCAAAUUUAUUUGGCGUGCUGUUCUCAUCUUCAAUCUCGGCCUCGGAGCCUACCUCUUUACAAGGCCCGCUAAGAAGGAAAGAAAGGCCAACACUGCACCACCUGUUAUUCCAGCUGAGACUACUACUCCCACUCCGCCUGCUCCUCAAAAUUUUGAACCCAUCUUUACUCCUAUUCCAGAACCUGUGAAGGUACCAGAGCCCCUUUCUGUAGAUCAGCAGCGCAGUGUUUUUGAAUGGAUGCUAGAAGAGAAGAGGAAGGUCAAACCUCAAAAUCGAGAAGAAAAGAAGAGAAUCAAUGAAGAAAAAGCUCUACUGAAACAGUUCAUACGAGCAGAUUCCAUUCCGAAGAUCUGAUUGAUCAAGAAUUUGAUGACUAUAGAGAUAGAGGUUGAGUUCUGCUCCUAUUAUUAAUUAGGUCCUGCCUAGGACUGUGUAUGGGAGCAGACAGACAGACAGACAUCUACUUGAGGAAGAGAGCUUACCUCUUUACAAGGCCUGCUAAGAAAGGAAAGGAAAACUACCGCUAAACUACGCAUUACUCCAAGUAAGACUACUACUCUCACUCUGCCCCUCUCUGUAGAGCAGUAGCACAGUAUUUUUGAAUGGAUGCUAGAAGAAAAGCGGAAGAUCAAACCUCAAGACCAAGAAGAAAAGAAAGAAAGGCGCUAAAGAAAAAUCUCUACUGAAGUAGUUCAUAUGAACAGAUUCCAUCUUGAAGAUCUGAUACAAACCUGGCCGUUCAUUUAAUUCCAUUUUUCGUCGGCUGAGAUUAGUUUUACUGGUACACAUUUACUACUUGGCAUAAUUUUCUUAAAUUAGUUCACAUUUGAUCUAACUGAUACUACUGCUGUUUUAGGAGGCAGUAAUUGAUGAUAAAUGAUUAGAUAUAAUAGAUAUUUUUGUUGUUAGUGGAGGAAAUUAAAUGGAGUUGCAUUA